GACGAACGCUGGCGGCGUGCUUAACACAUGCAAGUCGAACGCAGAGGCCCUGCUUUGGUGGGGUGCUCGAGUGGCGAACGGGUGAGUAACACGUGAGUAACCUGCCCUUGACUCUGGGAUAACUUCAGGAAACUGGGUCUAAUACCGGAUAGUACCUCCUGCUGCAUGGUGGUGGGUGGAAAGGUUCGGCGGGUGGGGAAGGACUUGCGGCUUAUCAGCUUGUUUGGGGGGUAGUGGCUUACCAAGGCCUUGACGGGUAGCCGGCCGGGAGGGGUUACGGGCAAAAUUGGGCCUGAGCUCCGGCCAAACUUCUUCCGGGAGGAAGAAGUGGGGAAUAUUGAAAAAGGGGCGGAACCCGGAUCCAGCAACGCCGCGUGGGGGAUGACGGCCUCCGGGUUGUAACCCGCUUUCGCCUGUGACGAAGCGUGAGUGACGGUAAUGGGUAAAGAAGCACCGGCUAACUACGUG
rnacentral:rRNA from 1 species